GGUGAAUGUAUUCCGGGUAGGUG
rnacentral:miRNA from 10 species